GGCCCCUUAUUCCUAAAUGUUCAGGAAUAUUAACCCCAAACUAAAUCAAAGCCUUCCCUUCGUUAUAUGGAACCUUUUGGUACAAUGUCAGAGAGAUCCAUACUGUUCUACAUAAGUUAUUGUCUGAAACUACAAAAAUGUUUUGUUUUUGGCCCUUAAUUCCUAGACUGUUUGCCCCAUAACCCUUAAAAUAAAUCUCAACCUUCUAC
rnacentral:lncRNA from 1 species